rnacentral:rRNA from 1 species
AGCUUGUACAGGUGCUGCAUGGCUGUCGUCAGCUCGUGUCGUGAGAUGUUCGGUUAAGUCCGCUAACGAGCGCAACCCUCGCUGUGUGUUACAAGGUGUCACACGGGAACUGCCGGUCAUAAACCGGAGGAAGGUGGGGAUGACGUCAAGUCAGCAUGGCCUUUAUAUCCUGGGCUACACACACGCUACAAUGGGAAGGGACAAUAGGGUUGCGAAGCCGCGAGGCGGAGCCAAUCCAGCAAAACUUCCCUCAGUUCAGAUUGCAGGCUGCAACUCGCCUGCAUGAAGUUGGAGUUGCUAGUAAACGCAGGUCAGCCAUACUGCGUUGAAUACGUUCCCGGGGCUU